UACGUAGGGUGCAAGCGUUAAUCGGAAUUACUGGGCGUAAGGCGUGCGCAGGCGGCUUUGCAAGACAGAUGUGAAAUCCCCGGGCUUAACCUGGGAACUGCAUUUGUGACUGCAUCGCUGGAGUGCGGCAGAGGGGGAUGGAAUUCCGCGUGUAGCAGUGAAAUGCGUAGAUAUCCGGAGGAACACCGGUGGCGAAGGCGGCUUCCUGGACCGACACUGACGCUGAGGCGCGAAAGCUAGGGGAGCAAACGGG
rnacentral:rRNA from 1 species